AGGGGCAGAGCUCAGCAGUACAGCACAUGCCUAGCAUGCACGAGGUCCUGGGUUCAAUCCCCAGCACCUCCA
rnacentral:tRNA from 1 species